rnacentral:rRNA from 1 species
GAUGAACGCUGGCGGCGUGCCUAAUACAUGCAAGUCGAGCGAACAGACGAGGAGCUUGCUCCUCUGACGUUAGCGGCGGACGGGUGAGUAACACGUGGAUAACCUACCUAUAAGACUGGGAUAACUUCGGGAAACCGGAGCUAAUACCGGAUAAUAUAUUGAACCGCAUGGUUCAAUAGUGAAAGACGGUUUUGCUGUCACUUAUAGAUGGUUCCGCGCCGCAUUAGCUAGUUGGUAAGGUAACGGCUUACCAAGGCGACGAUGCGUAGCCGACCUGAGAGGGUGAUCGGCCACACUGGAACUGAGACACGGUCCAGACGCCUACGGGAGGCAGCAGUAGGGAAUCUUCCGCAAUGGGCGAAAGCCUGACGGAGCAACGCCGCGUGAGUGAUGAAGGUCUUCGGAUCGUAAAACUCUGUUAUUAGGGAAGAACAAAUGUGUAAGUAACUAUGCACGUCUUGACGGUACCUAAUCAGAAAGCCACGGCUAACUACGUG